UACGUAGGUGGCAAGCGUUGUCCGGAUUUACUGGGCGUAAAGGGAGCGUAGGUGGAUAUUUAAGUGGGAUGUGAAAUCCCCGGGCUUAACCUGGGGGCUGCAUUCCAAACUGGAUGUCUAGAGUGCAGGAGAGGAGAGUGGAAUUCCUAGUGUAGCGGUGAAAUGCGUAGAGAUUAGGAAGAACACCAGUGGCGAAGGCGACUCUCGUGGAACUGUAACUGACACUGAGGCUCGAAAGCGUGGGGAGCAAACAGGG
rnacentral:rRNA from 1 species